rnacentral:rRNA from 1 species
GACGAACGCUGGCGGCGUGCCUAAUACAUGCAAGUAGAACGCACAGGAUGCACCGUAGUUUACUACACCGUAUUCUGUGAGUUGCGAACGGGUGAGUAACGCGUAGGUAACCUGCCUGGUAGUGGGGGAUAACUAUUGGAAACGAUAGCUAAUACCGCAUAAGAACAUUUACUGCAUGGUAGAUGUUUAAAAGGUGCAAAAGCAUCACUACCAGAUGGACCUGCGUUGUAUUAGCUAGUUGGUGAGGUAACGGCUCACCAAGGCAACGAUACAUAGCCGACCUGAGAGGGUGAUCGGCCACACUGGGACUGAGACACGGCCCAGACUCCUACGGGAGGGCAGCAGUAGGGAAUCUUUCGGGCAAAUGGGGGGAAACCCCUGACCGAGCAAACGCCGCGUGAGUGAAGAAAGGUUUUUCGGAUUCG